AGCCUUAGGAAUUGAUCUAAGGUUAGACCUGCCCAAUGUGUAAUUUAUUAAUGGCCGCGGUACUUUGACCGUGCUAAGGUAGCGCAAUCAGUUGGCUCUUAAUUAGGGUCAGGUAUGAAUGGAUAUACGGGGCUUAUCUGUCUCUAAAUUAAUUAUUUGAAGUUACUAUAUAGGUGAAAAAGCCUGUUAAUAGAAAAAAGACGAGAAGACCCUUAGAGUUUCACUUAUUUAGAAUUUUACUAAUAACUAUAUUCUUAAUAGUUUUGUUGGGGCAACAUAGGAGUUACUCCCUCCUAAAUACUAUCAACCGAUUAUUUUAAACUUGAAUAAACUACCUUAGGGAUAACAGCAUAAUUUAUUAAUUAAGUUUGUGACCUCGAUGUUGGACUAGGAAUUUUUAAGGCUAGCCGUCUUU
rnacentral:rRNA from 1 species